rfam:Ictidomys tridecemlineatus contig099147, whole genome shotgun sequence.
GAGGUUGUAGCUCAGUGGUAGAGCGCUUGCCUUGCACACUUGAGGCCCUGGAUUCAAUCUUCAGCACCACA